rnacentral:lncRNA from 1 species
GGAAGCGCUCGCGGUCAAAGGUGUGCCUAAGUGCGGGCUCUGGACGAUCAGGAUGUAAUACGGCCAGAUCUGUCUCUUCUACCCUCGCCUUCUUCGCCGACUCGGAAGUUGCAGUGCCUUCCUACUCGUGGGCCCUGAGAUUCUGGGCCAACAUCCGAGCCGUGUCUGCGCCCAUAUCUGCAACAAAGGAUGAUCGGCACAGUCUAUGAACGGGGCCGCUGAAGCGGAGAAAGUUCUGGGGCUGACCUAGGCUGAUAUGAGGGA